GACGAACGCUGGCGGCGUGCCUAAUACAUGCAAGUAGAACGCUGAAGGAGGAGCUUGCUUCUCUGGAUGAGUUGCGAACGGGUGAGUAACGCGUAGGUAACCUGCCUGGUAGCUGGGGAUAACUAUUGGAAACGAUAGCUAAUACCGCAUAAUAUUUACUAUUGCAUGAUAGUCAGUUGAAAGGUUCAACUGCACCACUACCAGAUGGACCUGCGUUGUAUUUGCUAGUUGGUGGGGUAACGGCUCACCAAGGCGACGAGACAUAGUCGACCUGAGAGGGUGAUCGGCCACACUGGGACUGAGACACGGCCCAGACUCCUACAGGAGGCAGCAGUAGGGAAUCUUCGGCAAUGGACGGAAGUCUGACCGAGCAACGCCGCGUGAGUGAAGAAGGUUUUCGGAUCGUAAAGCUCUGUUGUAAGAGAAGAACGAGUGUGAGAGUGGAAAGCUCACACUGUGACGGUAUCUUACCAGAAAGGGACGGCUAACUACGUG
rnacentral:rRNA from 1 species